rnacentral:rRNA from 1 species
AUACGGAGGGUGCAAGCGUUAAUCGGAAUUACUGGGCGUAAAGCGCACGUAGGCGGCUUGUUAAGUCAGAUGUGAAAGCCCCGGGCUCAACCUGGGAACUGCAUUUGAUACUGGCAGGCUAGAGUAUGGUAGAGGCAAGUGGAAUUCCGGGUGUAGCGGUGAAAUACGUAGAUAUCCGAAGGAACAUCAGUGGCGAAGGCGACUUGCUGGACUAAUACUGACGCUGAGGAGCGAAAGCGUGGGGAGCAAACGGGAUUAGAAACCCCGGUAGUCC